rnacentral:rRNA from 1 species
AUGGCCGCGCCGGCCUCCAUCCCGGUUCCAGACGAGCUCCUGGAGGAGAUCUUCAUCUGCCUGCCCACUCUGAACGCGCUCGCCCUCGCCUCCGGCGCCUGCACGUCCUUCCGCCGCGUCAUUAUAGCCCGCGCCUUCCGCCGCCGCUUCCGCGCGCUGCACCGGCCUCCCCUCCUCGGCUUCAUGGAUGUGGCCGGAUUCCACCCUUUCCAGGCGCCGCACCCCUCCGCCCCGCUCGCCGUGGCCCUGGCCCCCUACGCCGCUGAUUUCUCCUUCGUCCCGCCCGUCGUUUCUUCUACCUCCUACCUCGUCCCGCGUGACGACCACGACGAGGAAGGCCCCCGCUGGCGCCCCCGCGACGUCCGCGACGGCCGCGUCCUCCUGGAUUGGAUCUCCCUCUACCCACGUUCCGUCCACGUGUGGACCUACCGCGAAGACUCUGCCCGCCGUGAGGUAAGCAUCCUCAUGGACUCCAGGGAGCUCGGUGACGACCAACUCUGUGACCGCCUCACAUGGACCAAACGGGAGCGCUGCAAAGUAGGCAUCCUCGUCGACUGCAUGGAGCGCGGUCUCGGUGACUUUGACAACGAUCGUCACCGGUGCAACGCCGCUGACUUUCACCUCGCCGUCUGUGACCCGUUGUCCAGCAGAUACGUGCUGCUUCCAACCAUACCCGAGGACCUCGCCGCCGGGCCUCAAGAUAGCCUUUGGGCAUUUGAGCCCGUGCUCGCUCCCGCCACCGGUGACGAUGGAGAGGAUGAGCCCGUCAAGGUGAUAUGCUUUGCAAGAUACAUGACAAAACUCGUCCUCUUUGUCUUUUCGUCCACAACUAGGCAAUGGUCUAUGGUCGAGUCUCCCAGCUUCCCUUUUUUGAAAUGUCUAGAUCUAGACAUGUCCUGUUUUGACUGCGUGCGCGGCUGCUUCUACUGGACAGAACCUUACGACUGGGGUGACCAUCUGAUGGUGCUGGACACGCGCACCAUGAGCUUCUCCACUGUCGAUCUUCUCACCGGCUGCCAUGAGGAGCUCAGGGAUCUCCAUGACCCGAGCUUUCGUCCUUGGCAUCUCAAUGCAGUUGUUGCGGGUAGACAAGGAGCCCUUGAGAUGUUUUCUCUUGUCUGCCAACACGGGUCCUUUGCUCUCUACCAUACCUCUCUGCAGAAUAAUUCCCAAGAAUGGAAGCGGAGAAGAUCAUAA